GGCCGCCUGGCGAAAUGGCAUCGCGUCUGACUACGAUAAAAUAUUUCUUCAAGGCCUGUUGUAAUCAGGAGAUUGCAGGUUCGACCCCUGCGGUGGUCA
rfam:Lentinula edodes NBRC 111202 DNA, contig: scaffold196.